rnacentral:rRNA from 1 species
CCCUUAGAUGUUCUGGGCCGCACGCGCGCUACACUGUUCGACGCAGCGAGUCUUAACCUUGACCGAAAGGUUUGGGUAAUCUUCAGCAAAGUCGAACGUGAUGGGGAUCGAUCAUUGCAAUUAUUGAUCGUGAACGAGGAAUUCCUAGUAAGUGCAAGUCAUCAGCUUGCGCUGAUUACGUCCCUGCCCUUUGUACACACCGCCCGUCGCUACUACCGAUUGAAUGGUCCGGUGAGGCUUUGGGAUCUGAGCGGAAAGAGCGUUUCGCUGUUUCUGCUCGGAAAACUCAGUCGAACCUUAUCAUUUAGAGGAAGGAGAAGUCGUAACA